rnacentral:rRNA from 1 species
UACCGGCAGCUCGAGUGAUGACCGAUUUUAUUGGGCCUAAAGCGUCCGUAGCUGGCCACGAAAGCCCGUCGGGAAAUCUCUCGGCUCAACCGAGAGGCGUCCGGCGGAACCUCCGUGGCUUGGAACCGGAAGGCUCAGAGGGUACGUCCAGGGUAGGAGUGAAAUCCUGUAAUCCUGGACGGACCACCGAUGGCGAAAGCACUCUGAGAGGACGGAUUCGACAGUGAGGGACGAAAGCUAGGGUCUCGAA